GUGUAGUUUGGAAGGAGAGCAAGUUAGCACUCCCCUAGACAAGGAUGGAAACACAUUCAUGGACGGUUGGGCACAAGACGAAACCGUCCAAAAGUUUUU